UACGAAGGUGGCAAGCGUUGUUCGGAUUUACUGGGCGUACAGGGAGCGUAGGCGGUUGGAUAAGCCCUCCGUGAAAUCUCCAGGCUUAACCUGGAAAGUGCAGAGGGGACUGUUCAGCUAGAGGAUGGGAGAGGAGCGCGGAAUUCCCGGUGUAGCGGUGAAAUGCGUAGAGAUCGGGAGGAACACCAGAGGCGAAGGCGGCUAGCUGGACAGGUACUGACACUCAACUACGAAAGCGUGGGGAGCAAACAGG
rnacentral:rRNA from 1 species